UACGAAGGGGGCUAGCGUUGCUCGGAAUUACUGGGCGUAAAGGGCGCGUAGGCGGAUAGUUUAGUCAGAGGUGAAAGCCCAGGGCUCAACCUUGGAAUUGCCUUUGAUACUGGCUAUCUUGAGUUCGGGAGAGGUAAGUGGAAUGCCGAGUGUAGAGGUGAAAUUCGUAGAUAUUCGGCGGAACACCAGUGGCGAAGGCGACUCACUGGCCCGAUACUGACGCUGAGGCGCGAAAGCGUGGGGAGCAAACAGG
rnacentral:rRNA from 1 species